GUAACUGAAGACAGUCCUCUGCACACCAGUUUGUGUCCCCUAGAUGGCAGGAAAGGAUCAGUUUAACAGUAACAAAUCUGCUUUUGCUUGUAUACUUCAGCAUCCACCUGAGAGACAAAGGAGAGGAAAGUUGAAUCACUUCUGUGAGAGGGAAGCUUAUGGUGAGGUAUGAAUAAAUUUGAACUCAGUUCUGUAUCUUAAAAACAUUUUGUCUCAGUCAUUUAUUGUGGCUUCACCACCUCAGUUUAUGUUUAGAAUUAUAUUCCACACCUUUUAUUGUUGCUGCAUCUGAGAAUACAGAAAACAAAAAGAAUGAAUACAAUUCCUGGCAUAUUUCAUUACAACUUCUGUCUGUUGUCCAUGACGUGCCUUAUUUUUUUUUGAGCUUUGGUUGAUUGACAGUUGCUCGUCUAGUGCACUGCAAAGUUGCACUACUACUACUCAGAAAUUGCAAGGGUCUGUAACAUUUGAACUGUCACCUUGCUAUGUGUUUAGCUCUGAUGAUGAUUUGUAGUCUUCACUAUAUCCUUACUGCAUAUGAAGGCUAAAUUCAAGUAAAAUAGCAGUUUUGGUGCAAGGUUUAGAUCAUCAUUAAUGGUAAGCAGUGCUCAAAAUAGCAACAAUCACAGUGGUCAGUACCACCAAUAGGCUUUCAUGGCUUAAUGUCGUUUCUGUUGCAGUUGAUGUAAUGGAUGUCUCCUCUGAAACAGCUCUUAAGUCCGCUAUAGUUGUUAAAUGAUUCAGUAUUUAAUCAAAAAAAUAUGAUAUUAAAGAUUUAAGGAAUGUAUACUGGUACUAAGUGUGGCUAGGUUCAUGCAAAUCAGUGAAGUAUUUGAGAGACAGUUGUUCCUGCAAGAUUUUUCUUUCUCUGAAGUUCAGAUAGGGGUGAGAGAAGAGAGAUGCACAGCCUGAUGAUGUGUCCUGCUACCAGUUCUUCAGUAAUUCUGUCAUUUGGAAAUAUGUGUGCAUUUGGUUUAGAUAAGAUAAUUCAUAAUAGGAAAAAAAAGGUAGUGCUGUUUGACUUCGUACUUUGUUUUGCAGUAGAAGAGGAUGCUGGCUUCUAUUAAGGGGUGUCCUAUUGAUGACUUCGAUGAAGGCAGUAGAAUUUGGCCAAUCUUGAGUUGUAUCUGAAACUUGGUUGGUAGGUGUUCAUGGUCACCUCCUUAUGGAGGUAGAGACACUGCUCUUCUAUGACUAACUAGAGGAGGUGCUUCACCACAUUCACCCUUCUGGCAUCCACCCAUUUGACACUUAGAGCUGCCUUGUCUCUAAUUGUUGAUGAGCAAUAUCAAACUAAUUUCAAAACAAUUGUUCUAAACUAAUUUGUAGUUCACAAGUUACAGUUUUUAUUUCAGACCUGAAGAAAGAUUUAUACAAAACAUUGCCAGCCUGGCAGUAUGAAAAUAUUUGGAAAAAUUUUGGUCUAAUUAUAUUUUUAGAGAGAGACAAGCUAUACAUGUGAGUGUGUUAGUUCAGUGUAUAUUUGUCAUGUCAGUAUCUUCUACUUGGCACAUUCUGAAAGUUAAAUUUCUGGGCAAUAUUGCAAAGGAGUUUCAAGAUGAAUAGUGUGCAGUGGGGAUGGAGAUGGACACUGGUGGAAGUAAGUGCAGGGAAGCAAGAGCAGUAAUAGGAUGUUGUUACUCAAUGAUGAGCGCUGCUGCACAUGAAGAAAGUAUCAUUUUCUUACUCAUCUAUUUCUACCAUUGCUUCUUGCUUUAUUUUUCCUCAGUUCAUCCUUUUCUGAAUACUCCUUUCACUUCCCUCUGCACAUCCAGCAGAUUUCAGUCUGGUUAGUUCUGUUUCAUUCUCUUUGAAUAAAAGUUGGAGUUUCUGCCAGGUGGACUGAGUCUGCAAGAAGGAAACCUUGCAAAAGGCAGUGGCAGCACAAAGACCUUGCAGUUGAAGUGGUAGACUAGAAUUAGUGCUCUGUUCACAGGUAGAAACAAUGUUAAUUUUGGGAAAACAGCAAAAUGGUCUCCGGUCCCUGCUAAAUCUUUCCUUCUGACUUUGCAAAGCCCAGUGUCAUCAUAUUUACUCAUGGAAUAUAGUAUUCAGUCUUCAACUGGGCAGCAUGUGUACAGAAUUUUAAAUGAUUUUCUGUAAAAUACAUUUAAAUAUGCACAAGAGGAAAACACAGUCUUAUAUAAAUUCAAGUGGGAAGCUAUGAUUCUUUCUUUAUAUUUCAUAUUUCUUGUAUUUUGUGUAUUUCUCUCUCUCUAGUGUUGUAAAAAGCUAUUUCUGUUAUUGCUAUUGAUGAGAGUAUUGCCUAAUAAUUAGCAUUUCAUUUUUAUGCCCACAUUGAAAGUUACUGCUGGCCAAUCUUCAUUACAGGUGGAAUUGCCUUGUAUGGUCUCAGAGGGCUCAUCCUAUGUACAGGACAAGAAAAGAGGUGGUAAAAAAUGUUGGGGCACCUUGAGAGGGAGUGAAGUCUAUAAGAUCAUAAUUUCAGGUCUUUUCUAAACAUAUUCCUUAAUGGUGAGCAAGAACUUCUUGAAACUCACUUUCUAUCAGUUUUGGCAGUGCAUCUUUUACAGCUACUAGCAAAAGUUAACUUUUACGUACAAGUUGUAUCAAAGAGUUUAAUGGAAGAAACUUUUAGACAUCUAGUGGGGCGGUUGGGAGCAGUCACGACAUAGUUUAGCUGUACUUUGAGUCUGUAGGGUGAGACUGUGUAAAAACUGCAAGAUUUCCACAUGCUUUCUUAAGAAAACUGACCUGUAGAUCCCCACACCCGGAUUGUACGGGUACACCCUUUCUGUGGCUGGCUGUCCAGCCCACAGGAGCUGUCUCCAAAGCCCUGUGCAGAGGCUUCUGUGCUCUACAAAGGCACAUGAUGCACUUGCUGGAUCAACAAAGAAUGAGGAGGAUCUGUCUCCAGAGAUGACUUUGGUCGCACUGCACUGCUCUCCAGAAAUGGCCGUGAUGACUGUUGAAGACACUGGAAACUGAAACGAAAAGGUACAAAGAUAAAAUGUGGUGAAAGUAUUGAUUGAAAUUUUCAGAUAUAACCACUGAGCUUUUGAAAUUUAAUGAAUAAAAAGGCACUGUUGAUUGGGAAAAUGUCUACUGAGUUCUUUCAAAGAGCCUCAGAGAACAUGUUUCAAAAAUAGUGCUGCUAAAACUGAUAGUGACUUAAGAAAAUCCUGGUAACUGGCUAACAUUGUUCAAAAUCCUUGACAGUUCUAAGAAAAAAAUACACCUUUUCUCUACAAAACAAAACUCUGGUUUCUGGCCCCUCAUUUUUCAAGACUGUACUUCUAAUGCAAUCCUUUCACUGAAUCAUUUGAGCGCUUUUCUUUUCCCAUCAACAACUCCCACAUCCCCUAUGAGGUUUUAUUCCAUUCUGUAGACUAGUUCACUAGUUUAGGCUUGGAGCUUUGUUAUUCUAAUCUCAUGUUGAGAAAAGACCUUUUGGUCGAGCUUCGAAGUUUAACGACAAUGCCAAUACUCCGGUGUUGGGAAAAACUUUGAAUGCAUUUUUUAAAAUUGGCAUUGCUAGAUAUUUGGUGUAGAUUUCAACUGAGUACACCACAAUUAGACAGAGGCUGAAGAAGCUAAUUGAAAGAUUAAUGUUAAAACUUGGAGAGAAAUAGGAAUGCCUGAUUUUUUUGAAAGAUAUAUAUAUAAAUUUCUCUUACAUGUAAUGGAAGUUGAUGCAGAUAUAUAUUAUAGUCUCUCCACUGAGUAUUGGACAAGAUUAGUAUUGAUCCUACAGAGGCCCAAACACUCAGUUCUUAGAUCUGCUUUUCCCAUCCAACAGUUGCUGUUGGAUUCAGCACCUUUCAAGGAUUAAUAUAAACUCUUAAAAUAUUUUCCUUCUGUUCUUUUAUCGGUGAGUUGCAAGACGGCAGCUACUUGAUAUAAUCCAUUUUCAAUUUAGUAGGAAAUGUAAUAUACUUCUGUUCUGGAGGAAAAUUGGGAAGUAAUUACUGUAGAAUUAAAUCCUAUUGCUUCUGUGAAAAUAAACAAUAUAGGAAGUGUCUGGGGACUUGCAGUAGGACACAUAAUCCAACAGUACUCAUUCUUCUUUAUAGAACUAUGUAAUUAGGAGUUAACGAACAAAGUACUGGACUGCUUGCAAUUCCAUACACUGAUUUUCUGCAAGUGCUGUAGAAAGUUUCUUUUGCUUCCUCUGAAUCUUCUUUUUGCUCUGCUUUUUAGCUGCAAUGAAAAUGGGAUUUUACAUUAACAUGAAUUGUUUAUGUCUGGAUAAUAAGCAAUUAAAUUCACUACCUUCUUAAUUCAGUUGUUGGUUUGAUUGUCUCUUCUGUGGAGUCAAGACUGUUUCUUCUAGUAUAGAUUUAUAAUUUUUUCUUAAUAAAAAGGAAAAAAGAAGGAAAAAUAAAAAUAAAAAAAAACAUUAACUAUAAGUUGAAAUAAAGAAGGGGCAAAAGUACUCUUAUCUGAGGUCAAACCAGUUUUGCCUCAUGUGAAUCUGUGUCUGCCUUGUCCUGGGUUUCUUUUGGAGAGAAAAGAAUUUGAGUUUUUUAAUUGUGCUGAACAAGUACUAGACAAGGGCCCCAUGUGUGAGCCAUAGGCUUUACAUUCCAACCAUUCUCUUUUCAGUUCUAUACCAGUCAUCUGGUAUUUCUCAGCACUGAACUCUCUAAGAUUCCUGGGCAGAGACUGUAUUGGAGACAGAGUCAUAAAGCAUGGCACACUGCUGUGCCCUGUUUUGACUCUGCCAGGAUUUCUGGUUUAAAACAAAGACCCUCAGACUCUCCCAACCACUUAUGAGGUAUAAAGACAAUUUAAAAGUUGUCCAGUACACUUAUAAUGGGAUGAGUAACAAUAAGCUAUUGAACCUAUAAAUCUCCUUUAUUAUACAUACUAAUGAAUUCAGGGUUAUGGACAAAAAUACUUGCAAGAUUCAUAAAUAUUUGAUUGUUUUGAGACACAGAUGUCAGUGGCUUUGUUUUUAAUGUAUAGUACUAGAAUCAGAAUUUUAAUAUUGCUAAAAUUAUGCUAAAGUGCUGUUGGAACUUCAGGCAAGAUAUGUCUAACUUGAGUAGUAAAUCUAUUUCAUUUCAAAGGAAUACAGCAAUAAAACCCCUGAAGCAAGCAUUACCUGAACGUAAUUGACUGCAUCAAUGAGUUAAAUGUUCCAAGGAAAAGACUGUUUCUAGCUGACAAGGUCAGUUAUCCCCUCACUGUGUCCUUUUCGGGUGGUACUGGCAUUCCAAACAUAUCCAAAAAUUGUUAUCCAUUUUUCUGCUCUCAAAAGUUUUUUUUUACUUUUCUAAAUAAAAUUCCUAUUAACUAUUUUUUAGAAAAACAGAUAUUGGAGAAAUUUCCACUGGAGUAAUGCACAGAAAUAGUAUUAAUCCUGUGGAUAUAUGAAUUUCACUUUCAAGUAGCAGUUGCAUAUCUAUCAUCACUACUGAUUGGGUAGAAUCAUAGAAUGGAAUUUUUGUUUUUUGUUGUUUAAAAAACAUUGACUGUAAAAUGGUACUGUGUGAUAAAUGGAGUAGUUAAAGGUUAGUGUACCAUUUUUGUAUUUGGGCAUCCCUGUAAGCCCCAUUUCUGUUAUGGAUGGAAUCCUGAUGAAGUAGGAACAAAUUAAAUGUACGUGGGCCCAAACAAAGUGUGCUGAACCAAACAGGGAAUUGGUAAAAGGUCAACCCACUGGAUCAGAAACCAGUAGGCAGAGUUCUUUCUUCUUGUUUUUUUUUUUUUUUUCCAGGUGUUCAAGUUCAGCUGGUGAGACCCACACAUGAGAAAAGCCUCCUCUGCUCUCUGUGCCUGAGGAACAGGAAGUAGAUGGGCUCUGUCAGGCCCUCUCUCCCCAAGGAAAACCCUCAAACUCUUUCCAUAGCUGUUUCGGAUUUGAUGCCCCUCAUAUGGGCUUUACGGUGAAGAAACACAGACCAUGGCACAUCUUUUAUUCCCUUUUAGGCUUUUUAGCCCCCUUUGGCAAUACUGUAUAUAGAUUGUACCUUUUCCCGUGUCUUAGUUUCCUGUUCAUUUACUUCAUAAACUUCUUUGGUUGGGAAUAAAAUCUUUAUUAUAGC